GGACGUAUGGUAUAAUGGUUAUUACAACCGACUGUCUAUCGGUUAAUCGGGAUUCGAUUUCCCGUACGUCCGCCA
rnacentral:tRNA from 1 species